rnacentral:rRNA from 2 species
GUGCGAGACCGAUAGCGAACAAGUACCGUGAGGGAAAGAUGAAAAGAACUUUGAAAAGAGAGUUAAAGAGUACCUGAAACUGCUGAAAGGGAAGCGAAUCGUAUCCAGUGUCUAUAAUCUGCGGCAUAUUUCAUUGGCGGCGGUGCGCGUGCUUUUGCGUCGGAAGCGGCUUUUGUUGCUCUGUGCUUUUGCUGUGCGUGGUGUUGCUGGUGCCCUGUGUUGCGGUGGGACGUCAGAGUCAGUUUGUAUGCUGCGGGAAAUGGCUGCCGAGGAGGUAGGUCGAGAUUUCGGUCUUGGCUGUUAUAUCUUGGUGGUUUGUUGUCGUGGUUGAGACUGAGGUGCCUACAAUGUGCUUUUGAGUGUACCGGGUUCUCAUUUGGUGGACUGUUUGGAUAGCUUGCUAUGCUUGUGGUUUUUUCAUCGAGUGAUUGAGUCUGGUGGUAACUUGUUGCUGUUCGGGACUUUGAA